UACUUACUGUCUUCGAUGGUGAUAUUGCU
rnacentral:piRNA from 1 species